rnacentral:tRNA from 1 species
AAAUAAGAAGCAAAAUAUUGCUUUUAGUUUCGACCUAAAAAUUUGAAUUUAAAUUCCUUAUUUA